rnacentral:rRNA from 1 species
AAACGUGGAUUAAUACCCCAUAGUAUGUAGACUUCACCUGGAGACUACAUUAAACAUUUAUGGCUUAAAGAUGAGUAUGCGUCCUAUUAGUUAGUUGGUAAGGUAACGGCUUACCAAGACGGCGAUAGGUAGGGGUCCUGAGAGGGAGAUCCCCCACACUGGUACUGAGACACGGACCAGACUCCUACGGGAGGCAGCAGUGAGGAAUAUUGGACAAUGGAGGCAACUCUGAUCCAGCCAUGCCGCGUGCAGGAAGACGGCCCUAUGGGUUGUAAACUGCUUUUAUACGGGAAGAACCACAUCUACGUGUAGAUGCUUGACGGUACCGUAUGAAUAAGGACCGGCUAACUCCGUGCCAGCAGCCGCGGUAAUACGGAGGGUCCAAGCGUUAUCCGGAAUCAUUGGGUUUAAAGGGUCCGUAGGCGGGAUAAUAAGUCAGUGGUGAAAGUCUGCAGCUCAACUGUAGAAUUGCCAUUGAUACUGUUGUUCUUGAAUUAUUAUGAAGUGGUUGGAAUGAGUAGUGUAGCGGUGAAAUGCAUAGAUAUUACUCAGAACACCUAUUGCGAAGGCAGAUCACUAAUAAUAUAUUGACGCUGAGGGACGAAAGCGUAGGUAGCGAACAGGAUUAGAUACCCUGGUAGUCUACGCCGUAAACGAUGGUUACUAGCUGUUCGGCUCGAUUGAGAGCUGAGUGGUUAAGCGAAAGUGAUAAGUAACCCACCUGGGGAGUACGUUCGCAAGAAUGAAACUCAAAGGAAU